rnacentral:rRNA from 1 species
UACGGGAAGGCAGCAGUGGGGAAUAUUGGACAAUGGGCGCAAGCCUGAUCCAGCCAUGCCGCGUGUGUGAAGAAGGCCUUCGGGUUGUAAAGCACUUUUGUCCGGAAAGAAAAGCUUAGGGUUAAUAACCUUGAGUCAUGACGGUACCGGAAGAAUAAGCACCGGCUAACUUCGUGCCAGCAGCCGCGGUAAUACGAAGGGUGCAAGCGUUACUCGGAAUUACUGGGCGUAAAGCGUGCGUAGGUGGUUUGUUAAGUCUGAUGUGAAAGCCCUGGGCUCAACCUGGGAAUGGCAUUGGAAACUGGCUUACUAGAGUGCGGUAGAGGGGUGUGGAAUUCCCGGUGUAGCAGUGAAAUGCGUAGAUAUCGGGAGGAACAUCUGUGGCGAAGGCGACACCCUGGACCAGCACUGACACUGAGGCACGAAAGCGUGGGGAGCAAACAGGGAUUAGAUACC